CAGGAGUUACAUUGAUAAUGGUGCUCCUUUUAUUGAUUUAAGAUUAAUUUGGUUAUGUGUGUGUGUCUUGGUAAUUGUGUUGGGUUUAGGUUCUGGGCUUAGUUUGCAAGGCCUACAAUCAAUUUCCACAUUAAAAUAAGCUGGAACUGUUAUUCCUUUAAAGGAGGUUGGAUGUGAUGAUAUGAGGUAACAUUAUAGUCACCAAUUGCAGUGUGGUGAAUGUCUUGUUUUAUCAUAUGUAUAUAGUAAAACCCAGAGACUCAGAUAAAACAAAGAUAAGGACAUGGUGUGACCUUCCUGUCUAAUGUCCUGAAGCGGCAAGUGAAAUGUCGUUGAAGCAUAUGGCGUGAUGAGGUUAUGGUGCUUGUCUUUGUCUCUUCUUAUGGUAGUUCCUAUGCAUUUACAACAGCAGAAAACAUUUAGGACUCCUGAUAGGACUCCAUGUCAAGAAAUACUUUAUCAGGACUGGGCUCUACUUCAAUCUGUUCUUAAAAAACAUGGCUUCAUGUGCAGAUGCUUUAUAGUAAAGUGUGUCUAUAUUGCAGAAGUGCGCAGGAUCAAUCAUAUGCCAUGCACUUGGAUUUACAGAGGACUUCAUAAAGAGGAAAUAAAGAGUACAGUUUUAAAACCAAAGAUAAUUAGGAGAUUACUAAGAGGGAAGACGCAUUCAUCUAAACAAGGCAUCACUUCAAAAACGUGUCUUAUAAUUGGUUUAUUCCAUGUUAAAAGAAAAGCAGUCACAAAACUGGACAAGCAGCCAAAUGAAAACCCCACUUACUGGACUACUGACCAUCAUUCUGGUCUAAUAACAGAUGGGUUUCCAGGGGAUGCUUUUGAAGACGCUCCUGAAAGAUGUUUAUGGAAACAGGUGUCAGAACUAGCUAAGAUGCUAAGGAAUAUUUUCCCAUCUGCCACAAAGUUGAAAAUAUUUACUAAUCAAAAGGGUUCAACUGUUAUCUGUCCCAUAAACCAGGCUACAAGAUAUUCACAACAGCACCAAGGAGCAGAAAUUGAAAUAAAUGAGUUAGCAGAAAGUGCAAUGAAAUUCGUGUCCAAUCCUAGUAAUGAUGCUGUCAUCAACGUGGAAAAAAUACUGCUGUUAUUAGGAAUGGGACUUUUCCAAAUGACAGCAAAGGACAGCAUAGUUACACCAACCACUGUCAUAACAGAUGAAGAGUCUAAUGUAGUUGAUGACAAGAUGACUUCAACCAUGUCAUUCAGUCAAACGGAUACAAAACCACAUAAUGUAGAAGAUAAAACAAAAGAAUCAAGCGUAACAGAGAGCUUCGAGACAGAAAGCACUAAAGAUCUUCUGUUAAGUGCAGAAGAUAUUGAAAUGAAUACAAGUGAAUUAGAAGUUCCAGUCACCUCCAGAAAAUAUGCAAAUACUAUCACACUUACAAAACAGAUGGGAAUUACAACAGUGCAGACUAAAACAGACUGUACAACAGAACUGGAGAUGCCAUCAGCAGAAAAUGAAGGAAGUGAGAAGAAAAUAUCUUCAGUGGAAGCAGUUGAGGAAACCACAAAAGAUGGUCAAAAACACCAGACAAGCUUCAGUGGGAUUAGAUUAACGAUGGCAAAAGCAACAACAGAAAAAGGAAACAAUGUAUCUGAUAUAAAACACAAGGAUGAGAAAGAAUAUGCUGAGCAAAGAGAGGACUUCACAGCAACAGAGAAGCUGAUCUUGGUUACAAGUCAACCUGAUACUUUAAUGACAAAAGAACCCCGAACAAAUAAACCAGUGACACCAACCACAUCCAGAGGGAAUACACAUACUGCCAUGCUGACAGAAAGAGAGACUAGAAUGACAACAGAACAUCCUGAAACAGAACAUAAAACAGAAAUUGAGUUACAAACACUUGAAGACAAAAAACCUGUGGAGCAAACAGAUACCUCAUAUGGAGAAAGACAGUUGAAAUAUGACGGUUUAAGUUCAAAACAUUUUAAAACAGAAAAUAUAAAUGAAUUAGUUACAUCAGCUCCCUCCAGAGGACAUGAACAUACUACCAUAGUGACCAAACUUGAGGAGGAAAUGACAACAGAGUUUCAUGAAACAGAAUGUACAACAGAAAUUGAGAUACUAACACCAGAAGAUAAAACACUUGUGGAGAGAACAGAUACCACACAUGAAGAAAGACGGUCAGAGCCUGUUGAUUUAAAUUCACAACAUCUAGAAACAGAAGGAAAAAAUGAACCAGUGACACCAAACACAUCCAAAAAAUAUGCUGAAUAUUUACAGGAGACUGGUCAAGAGAGAAAAAUGACAACAGAUCUUCCUGAAACGGCAUGUACAACAGAAAUCAACUUAUCAACAGCAGAAGAACGAACUUCACUGGAGAAAGCAACUGCAACAUAUGAAGAAAGACAGUCAAAGCCUGCUGAUUUCAUUUCAGAAAAUACUGAAUCAAAAGUUACAAAUGAACAAGUGACAUCAACCAUAUCCACAAAACAUGCAGAAGAUUUCAUUUCAACCAGACAAGAGACAUCAAUGACAACAGAGGCUCUUGAAACUGAAUGUACAACAGAAAUUGAGUUACAAACACCAGAAGAUAAGAGACCUAUGAUGACAACAGCUACCACAUAUGAAGAAAGACACUCAGUACCUGUUGAUUUCAUUUCAGAAAAUAUUGAGUCAAAAGGUACAAAUGAACCACUGACACCAACCAUAUCCACAAAAUCUGCAGAAUACUUCACAAAGAGCAGAGAAGAGACAUUGAUGACAACAGAGGCUCUUGAAACUGAAUGUACAACAGAAAUUGAAUUACAAACACCAGAAGAUAAAACACCUGUGGAGAGAACAGAUACCACAUAUGAAAAAAGACAUUCAGAACCUGAUGAUUUCAUUUCAGAAAACACUGAGUCAAAUGAACCGGUAACAACAACCAUAUCCACAAAAUAUGCAGAAGUUUUCAUUUCAACCAGACAAGAGACAUUAAAAACAACAGAAGCUAUUGAAACUGAAUGCACAACAGAAAUUGAGUUACAAACACCAGAAGAUAAGAGACCUAUGAUGACAACAGCUACCACAUAUGAAGAAAGACACUCAAAAUCUGUUGAUAUAAUUUCAGAAAAUAUUGAGUCAAAAGGUACAAAUGAACCACUGACACCAACCAUAUCCAAAAAAUCUGCAGAAGACUUCACAAAGAACAGAGAAGAGACAUUGAUGACAACAGAGGCUCUUGAAACUGAACGUACAACAGAAAUCGAGCUGCAGACACCAGAAGAUAAAACACCUGUGGAGAGAACAGAUACCACACAUGAAGAAAGACACUCAGAACCUGCUGAUUUCAUUUCAGAAAACACUGAGUCAAAAGAUAGAAAUGAACCAGUGACACCAACCAUAUCCUCGAAAUAUGCAAAAGAUUUUAUUUCAACCAGACAACAGACAUUAAUGAAAACAGAGGCUCUUGAAACUAAACAUAUAACAGAAAUUGAGUUGCAAACACCUGAAGAUAAAACACCUGUGGAGAGAACAGAUACCACACAUGAAGAAAGACACUCAGAAUCUGUUAAUUUCAUUUCAGAAAAUAUUGAGUCAAAUGAACCAGUAUCAACAACCAUAUCCACAAAAUAUGCAGACGUUUUAAUUUCAACCAGACAAGAGACAUUAAUGACAACAGAGAAUCUUGAAACUAAACGUACAACAGAAAUUGAGUUACAAACUCCUGAAGAUAAAACACCUGUGAUGACAACAGCUACCACAUAUGAAGAAAAACACUCAGAACCUGUUGAUUUCAUUUCAGAAAAUAUUGAGUUAAAAGAUAGAAAUGAACCAGUGACACUAAACACUUCCAGAUAUUAUGCAGAAGACUUCACAAUGAACAGAGAAGAGACAUUGAUGACAACAGAGGCUCUUGAAACUGAAUGUACAACAGAAAUCGAGCUGCAAACACUAGACGAUAAAAUGCCUGUGGAGAGAACAGAUACCACGAAUGAAGAAAGACACUCAGAACCUGUUGAGUUUAUUUCAGAAAAUAUUCAGUCAAAAGAUACAAAUGGACCAGUGACACCAACCAUAUCUGUAAAAUAUGCAGAAGAUUUCACAAUGAACAGAGAAAAGACAACGAUCACAACAGAAGCUCUUGAAACUGAAUGUACAACACAAAUUGAGUUGCAAAGACCAGAAGAUAAAACACCUGUGAUGACAACAGCUACCACACAUGAAGAAAGACAGUCAGAACCUGUUGAUUUCAUUUCAGAAAAUAUUCAGUCAAAAAGUACAACUGAACCAGUGACACCCACCAUUUCCACAAAAUAUGCAGAUUUAAUUUCAACCAGACAAGAGACAUUAAUGACAACAGAGGCUCUUGAAACAGAAUGUACAACAGAAAUUGAGUUACAAACACCAGAAGAUAAAACACCUGUGGAAAGAACAGAUACCACACAUGAAGAAAUACACUCAGAAUAUAAUGAUGUAAGUUCAGAACAUAUUGCAACAAAAGGUAUAAAUGAAUUAAUUGCAUCCACCCCUUCAAGAGCACAUGAACAUACUGCCAUAGUGACUAAACAUGAGAUAGAAAUGACAACAGAAGUUCCUCGAACAGAAUGUACAACAGAAAUUGAGAUACUGAUACCAGAAGAUAAAACGACACCAAACCAAGAAACAGAAGGAUCACAGCCUACAGAUGAAGACGGUUGCUUUGGAUUAAUUCAUCGCACCAGCUCUGGGUUGAAAAGAUGCCAGGAGAAGAAGAUGAAAAUGAAUGAUUUAAAGUCAGAACAUCUUGCAACUGAAGGAACAAAUACAUUAAUUACAGCAACCACAUCUAGAAAACAUGCAGACGAUUUAAUUAGGACUGAACAAGAGAAAAGAAGGACAACAGAGACUCUUGAAACAGAACGUACAACAGAAAUUGAGCUACAAACAGCAGAAGAUAAAACACCUGUGGAGAGAACAGAUAGCACACAUGAAGAAAGACAGACAAAAUCUGCUGAUUUUAUUUCAGACAAAACUGAAAUAAAAGAUACAAAUGGACCAGUGACACCAAACCCUUCCAGAAAAUCUGCAGAAGACUUCACAGAGACCAGACAAGAGACAGUAAUGACAACAGAGACUCUUGAAACAGAAUGUACAACAGAAAUUGAGUUACAAACUCCUGAAGAUAAAACACCAGUGGAGAGAACAGAUACCACACAUGAAGAAAGACAUUCAGAAUAUAAUGAUGUAAGUUCAGAACACCUUGCAACAAAAGGUGCGAAUGAAUUUGUUGCAUCAACUCCUUCAAGACCACAUGAACAUACUGCCAUAGUGACUAAACAUGAGAUAGAAAUGACAACAGAACUUCUUGAAACUGAAUGUACAACAGAAAUUGAGAUACUGAUACCAGAAGAUAAAACAACACCAAGCCAAGAAACAGAAGGAUCACAGUCUACAGAUGAAGACGGUUGCUUUGGAUUAAUUCAUCGCACCGGCUCUGGGUUGAAAAGAUGCCAAGAGAAGACGAUGAAAAUAAAUGAUUUAAAGUCAGAACAUCUUGCAACUGAAGGUAUAAAUACAUUAAUUACAGCAACUACAUCUAGAAAACUUGCAGAGGAUUUAAUUAGGACCGAACAAGAGAAAAGAAUGACAACAGAGACUCUUGAAACAGAACGUACAACAGAAAUUGAGUUACAAAGAGCAGAAGAUAAAACACCUUUGGAGAGAACUGAUAUCACGAAUGAAGAAAGACAGACAAAAUCUGCUGAUUUUAUUUCAGACAAAACUGAAACAAAAGAUACAAAUGAACUAGUGACACCAAAACCUUCCAGAAAAUCUGCAGAAGACUUCACAGUGACCAGACAAGAGACAGUAAUGACAACAGAUACUCUUGAAACAGAAUGUACAACAGAAAUUGAGUUACAAACUCCUGAAGAUAAAACACCUGUGGAGAGAACAGAUACCACAUAUGAAGAAAGACAUUCAGAAUAUAAUGGUUUAAGUUCAGAACACCUUGCAACAAAAGGUGCGAAUGAAUUUGUUGCAUCAACUCCUUCAAGAGCACAUGAACUUACUGCCUUGACUAAACAUGAGAUAGAAAUGACAACAGAACUUCUUGAAACUGAAUGUACAACAGAAAUUGAGAUACUGAUACCAGAAGAUAAAACAACACCAAGCCAAGAAACAGAAGGAUCACAGUCUACAGAUGAAGACGGUUGCUUUGGAUUAAUUCAUCGCACCGGCUCUGGGUUGAAAAGAUGCCAGGAGAAGAUGAUGAAAAUGAAUGAUUUAAAGUCAGAACAUCUUGCAACUGAAGGUAUAAAUACAUUAGUUACAGCAACCACAUCUAGAAAACAUGCAGAGGAUUUAAUCAGGACUGAACAAGAGAAAAGAAUGACAACAGAUACUAUUGAAACAGAACGUACAACAGAAAUUGAGUUACAAACUCCUGAAGAUAAAACAUCUGUGGAGAGAACAGAUACCACACAUAAAGAAAGACAUUCAGAAUAUAAUGGUGUAAGUUCAGAACACCUUGCAACAAAAGGUACGAAUGAAUUUGUUGCAUCAACUCCUUCAAGAGCACAUGAACAUACUGCCAUGACUAAACAUGAGAUAGAAAUGACAACAGAACUUCUUGAAACAGAAUGUACAAUAGAAAUUGAGAUACUGAUACCAGAAGAUAAAACAACACCAAGCCAAGAAACAGAAGGAUCACAGUCUACAGAUGAAGAUGGUUGCUUUGGAUUAAUUCAUCGCACCGGCUCUGGGUUGAAAAGAUGCCAGGAGAAGAAGAUGAAAAUGAAUGAUUUAAGGUCAGAACAUCUUGCAACUGAAGGUAUAAAUACAUUAAUUACAGCAACUACAUCUAGAAAACUUGCAGAUGAUUUAAUUAGGACUGAACAAGAGAAAAGAAUGACAACAGAGACUCUUGAAACAGAACGUACAACAGAAAUUGAGUUACAAAGAGCAGAAGAUAAAACAUCUGUGGAGAGAACUGAUAUCACGAAUGAAGAAAGACAGCCAAAAUCUGCUGAUUUUAUUUCAGACAAAACUGAAACAAAAGAUACAAAUGGACUAGUGACACCAAACCCUUCCAGAAAAUCUGCAGAAGACUUCACAAUGACCAGACAAGAGACAGUAAUGACAACAGAGACUCUUGAAACAGAAUGUACAACAGAAAUUGAGUUACAAACUCCUGAAGAUAAAACACCUGUGGAGAGAACAGAUAUAACACGUGAAGAAAUACACUCAGAAUAUAAUGAUGUAAGUUUAGAACACCUUGCAACAAAAGGUACGAAUGAAUUUGUUGCAUCAACUCCUUCAAGAACACAUGAACAUACUGCCAUAGUGAAUAAACAUGAGAUAGAAAUGACAACAGAACUUCCUGAAACAGAAUGUACAACAGAAAUUGAGAUACUGAUACCAGAAGAUAAAACAACACCAAGCCAAGAAACAGAAGGAUCACAGUCUACAGAUGAAGACGGUUGCUUUGGAUUAAUUCAUCGCACCAGCUCUGGGUUGAAAAGAUGCCAGGAGAAGAAGAUGAAAAUGAAUGAUUUAAAGUCAGAACAUCUUGCAACUGAAGGAACAAAUACAUUAGUUACAGCAACCACAUCUAGAAAACAUGCAGACAAUUUAAUCAGGAUUGAUCAAGAGACAGUAAUGACAACAGAGACUCUUGAAACAGAAUGUACAACAGAAAUUGAGUUACAAACUCCUGAAGAUAAAACACCAGUGGAGAGAACAGAUACCACACAUGAAGAAAGACAUUCAGAAUAUAAUGAUGUAAGUUCAGAACACCUUGCAACAAAAGGUACGAAUGAAUUUGUUGCAUCAACUCCUUCAAGAGCACAUGAACAUACUGCCAUAGUGACUAAACAUGAGAUAGAAAUGACAACAGAAGUUCCUGGAACAGAAUGUACAACAGAAAUUGAGAUACUGAUACCAGAAGAUAAAACAACACCAAGCCAAGAAACAGAGGGAUCACAGCCUACAGAUGAAGACGGUUGCUUUGGAUUAAUUCAUCGCACCGGCUCUGGGUUGAAAAGAUGCCAGGAGAAGACGAUGAAAAUUAAUGAUUUAAGGUCAGAACAUCUUGCAACUGAAGGAACAAAUACAUUAGUUACAGCAACCACAUCUAGAAAACAUGCAGAGGAUUUAAUCAGGAUUGAACAAGAGAAAAUAGUGACAACAGAGACUCUUGAAACAGAAUGUACAACAGAAAUUGAGUUACAAACUCCUGAAGAUAAAACACCUGUGGAGAGAACAGAUAUAACACGUGAAGAAAUACACUCAGAAUAUAAUGAUGUAAGUUUAGAACACCUUGCAACAAAAGGUACGAAUGAAUUUGUUGCAUCAACUCCUUCAAGAACACAUGAACAUACUGCCAUAGUGAAUAAACAUGAGAUAGAAAUGACAACAGAACUUCCUGAAACAGAAUGUACAACAGAAAUUGAGAUACUGAUACCAGAAGAUAAAACAACACCAAGCCAAGAAACAGAAGGAUCACAGUCUACAGAUGAAGACGGUUGCUUUGGAUUAAUUCAUCGCACCAGCUCUGGGUUGAAAAGAUGCCAGGAGAAGAAGAUGAAAAUGAAUGAUUUAAAGUCAGAACAUCUUGCAACUGAAGGAACAAAUACAUUAGUUACAGCAACCACAUCUAGAAAACAUGCAGACAAUUUAAUCAGGAUUGAUCAAGAGACAGUAAUGACAACAGAGACUCUUGAAACAGAAUGUACAACAGAAAUUGAGUUACAAACUCCUGAAGAUAAAACACCAGUGGAGAGAACAGAUACCACACAUGAAGAAAGACAUUCAGAAUAUAAUGAUGUAAGUUCAGAACACCUUGCAACAAAAGGUACGAAUGAAUUUGUUGCAUCAACUCCUUCAAGAGCACAUGAACAUACUGCCAUAGUGACUAAACAUGAGAUAGAAAUGACAACAGAAGUUCCUGGAACAGAAUGUACAACAGAAAUUGAGAUACUGAUACCAGAAGAUAAAACAACACCAAGCCAAGAAACAGAGGGAUCACAGCCUACAGAUGAAGACGGUUGCUUUGGAUUAAUUCAUCGCACCGGCUCUGGGUUGAAAAAGAUGCCAGGAGAAGACGAUGAAAAAUUAAUGAUUUAA
ensembl:lncRNA